UAAGCCCUCAACGGAAAUGGGCGUGACAUGGGCGUGGUAUGGGCGUGGUGGGGGCUUAACUCGAAAGGGCGUGGUUGGGGCUUAACUCGAAGGGCUUGACUCGAGGGGCUUAACUCGAAGAUUUGCUACCCCACUGUUUCCAGGUAUUUGAUUGUUGAUUCACUUUCGAUUGGACAUUUAAUUCAAUGAGAAGCUUUAUAGAUUGUGAGCAAAGCAUUUUUACAAUAUCGUUCGAAUGUAGGCUACAUUUUUGAAGGUUUUGCUCGUAUGGAAGGCGAAAGGGAGAAAUCUCCCAUUAAUGCCGAGCAACAAGAGGAGAAUAUCGAUUCUGUGUCCAGCGAUGGCCAAGGAACGAGUGGACAGCCGUCGUCUUCUGCGACAUCUGCGCUGAGUUCUAAACCUCAGAGUCCCGGGAAACACAUGGAUAGCAGUGAAAGAGCUUUAAGUGGUA
rnacentral:lncRNA from 1 species